CCUACGGGGUGCAGCAGUAGGGAAUAUUGCUCAAUGGGGGAAACCCUGAAGCAGCAACGCCGCGUGGAGGAUGAAGGUUUUCGGAUUGUAAACUCCUUUUGUUAGAGAAGAUAAUGCCGGUAUUUAACGACUCAGCACCGGCCAAUUCCGUCCCAGCAGCCGCGGUAUUACGGAGGGCGCAAACGUUACUCGGAAUGACUGGGCGUAACGAGCGCGUAGGUGGGAUGGCAAGUCAGAUGUGAAAUCCUAUGGCUUAACCAUAGAACUGCAUUUGAGACUGUUAGUCUAGAGUAUGGGAGAGGUGGGGGGAAUUCGUGGUGUAGGGGUAAAAUCCGUAGAGAUCAAGAGGAAUACUCAGUGCGAAGGCGACCUGCUAGAACAUAACUGACGCUGAGGCGCGAAAGCGUGGGGAGCAAACAGGAUUAGAUACCCGAGUAGUC
rnacentral:rRNA from 1 species